UACGUAGGGGGCAAGCGUUGUCCGGAAUCAUUGGGCGUAAAGAGCGUGUAGGCGGCCAGAAAAGUCCGCUGUGAAAACUCGAGGCUCAACUUCGAGCUGUCGGUGGAAACUUUCUGGCUAGAGUCCGGAAGAGGAGAAUGGAAUUCCUGGUGUAGCGGUGAAAUGCGCAGAUAUCAGGAAGAACACCCGUGGCGAAGGCGGUUCUCUGGAACGGUACUGACGCUGAGACGCGAAAGCGUGGGGAGCGAACAGG
rnacentral:rRNA from 1 species